rnacentral:lncRNA from 1 species
GGCACUGAAGGCACAUCCUCUCCAUCACUCACCGACGCCAUUUCAGAUGGUUGGUACUCUUUAUCACGAUACAAGUUUAUGUUAAAUGUCAACUCAGGGUUUUCCUCCAGAUCUUCUUUGAAGCGCUUAUAGUCAGCAUUAAUCUUCUCCUCAUUGUGUUUUUUACAGGAGUCAUCCACCUCCAUGUUCAACGACUUGAGUUUCCAGGGACGAGGCUUUCCACGUGUUUUCUGACGUUUUUCUUCGUAGCUCUUCUUUACUAAUAUUGCAUCUGGUAGCACAAGACUCUUAUACUUGUCUAAUACAAUGUCAUUAUUGUUAGCUCCAUAUAAGUCAUAACCAAGAGCAUAAUCGCCAGGAUUCAAAAGAUGGCCAAGGUGCGUUCUCAUGGUGAAAAUUGUGUCGUUC